rnacentral:rRNA from 1 species
CGGCAGACGGGUGAGUAACGCGUGGGAAUCUACCCUUUUCUACGGAAUAACUCAGGGAAACUUGAGCUAAUACCGUAUACGCCCUUUUGGGGAAAGAUUUAUCGGAGAAGGAUGAGCCCGCGUUUGAUUAGCUAGUUGGUGGGGUAAAGGCCCACCAAGGCGACGAUCAAUAGCUGGUCUGAGAGGAUGAUCAGCCACAUUGGGACUGAGACACGGCCCAAACUCCUACGGGAGGCAGCAGUGGGGAAUAUUGGACAAUGGGCGCAAGCCUGAUCCAGCCAUGCCGCGUGAGUGAUGAAGGCCCUAGGGUUGUAAAGCUCUUUCAACGGUGAAGAUAAUGACGGUAACCGUAGAAGAAGCCCCGGCUAACUUCGUGCCAGCAGCCGCGGUUAU